rnacentral:rRNA from 1 species
CCAGAUUGAACGCUGGCGGCAGGCCUAACACAUGCAAGUCGAGCGGUAACAUUUCUAAGCUUGCUUAGAAGAUGACGAGCGGCGGACGGGUGAGUAAUGCUUGGGGAUCUGCCUGAUGGCGGGGGACAACCACUGGAAACGGUGGCUAAUACCGCAUAAUACCUAUGGGUCAAAGUGUGGGACCUUCGGGCCACACGCCAUCAGAUGAACCCAAGUGAGAUUAGCUGGUUGGUAAGGUAACGGCUUACCAAGGCGACGAUCUCUAGCUGGUCUGAGAGGAUGAUCAGCCACACUGGGACUGAGACACGGCCCAGACUCCUACGGGAGGCAGCAGUGGGGAAUAUUGGACAAUGGGGGCAACCCUGAUCCAGCCAUGCCGCGUGUGUGAAGAAGGCCUUCGGGUUGUAAAGCACUUUCAGUGGUGAGGAAGGUGGUGUCGUUAAUAGCGGCAUCAAUUGACGUUAGCCACAGAAGAAGCACCGGCUAACUCCGUGCCAGCAGCCGCGGUAAUACGGAGGGUGCGAGCGUUAAUCGGAAUUACUGGGCGUAAAGCGCACGUAGGCGGUAUGUUAAGCAAGAUGUGAAAGCCCAGAGCUCAACUCUGGAAUAGCAUUUUGAACUGGCAUGCUAGAGUUUUGGAGAGGGUGGUAGAAUUUCCAGUGUAGCGGUGAAAUGCGUAGAUAUUGGAAGGAAUA